GGUGGCAGCAGAGAGCUGCAGCGCUCCUGAGUGCUGUAACACUGCACGGAGAGAUGUGCGGGUCUUCACGGGAACAGCAAGGAACCGAAAGCUGCAUUUCCGGGAUGCCCUGGAACCCCACUUUGCUGACUGGUAAUUGUCUGCCCAGCAGGUGGCAGCAGAGAGCUGCAGCGCUCCCUGAGUGCUGUAACACUGCACGGAGAGAUGUGCGGGUCUUCACGGGAACAGCAAGGAACCGAAAGCUGCAUUUCCCGGGAUGCCCUGGAACCCCACUUUGCUGACUGGUAAUUGUCUGCCCAGCAGGCAGGUCUUCAAUGAAGAUAUUGGACAGAACAGGCCUGAAGAGCACUCAGGAUGGCAUACCAGCUGUUUUUAACACGAUGGAGCAGCACUCAUUAGGCCAGGCGGUUCAGCUACUUCUUCAUCUAGCAAGCAAUGUACCCGUCCAAGUAGCCGGCUGCAAUCUUUGAGAGAAUUUCAAGGGAUAGCACAUCAAAGGCUUUGCCUCACUCAUGGGGUUGGGUCACUGCUUUGAGUGUGCUAGCGUGGCUGACCAUAAUCCUGUAACUGACAUCCUGUAGCUGGACAGAGACCAUUUGCACUCCAUCCAGGCUGUUUGAGACUCACGGCCAUGCUGAGAGUCACACUGAUUUCAGCGUGUGCAGUCAUUUUGCAUCAACCCCGUAACCAACGCCUGAGGCCAUCGGAGCCCAUUUUUGCUUUUUCCUGGCUUGUCUGAGGCUUGCAUUUACUUCAGGUGGGCUGAGAUCUGCUCUACUGUUGAGGUGGGUUGCAGUACAAAAUAUUAGUGUAAAUGUAAUGUUAUUUAUUGGAUGUGGAGGCU
rnacentral:lncRNA from 7 species